GGGUUGUGAGGUUAAGCGACUAAGCGUACACGGUGGAUGCCCUGGCAGUCAGAGGCGAUGAAGGGCGUGCUAAUCUGCGAUAAGCGCCGGUAAGGUGAUAUGAACCGUUAUAACCGGCGAUACCCGAAUGGGGAAACCCAGUGUGACUCGUCACACUAUCAUUAACUGAAUCCAUAGGUUAAUGAGGCGAACCGGGGGAACUGAAACAUCUAAGUACCCCGAGGAAAAGAAAUCAACCGAGAUUCCCCCAGUAGCGGCGAGCGAACGGGGAUGAAACCGUGUACGUACAAGCAGUGGGAGCACCCUUUGGGUGUGACUGCGUACCUUUUGUAUAAUGGGUCAGCGACUUAUAUUCUGUAGCAAGGUUAACCGAAUAGGGGAGCCGGAGGGAAACCGAGUCUUAAYYGGGCGUUAAGUUGCAGGGUAUAGACCCGAAACCCGGUGAUCUAGCCAUGGGCAGGUUGAAGGUUGGGUAACACUAACUGGAGGACCGAACCGACUAAUGUUGAAAAAUUAGCGGAUGACCUGUGGCUGGGGGUGAAAGGCCAAUCAAACCGGGAGAUAGCUGGUUCUCCCCGAAAGCUAUUUAGGUAGCGCCUCGUGAAUUCAUCUCCGGGGGUAGAGCACUGUUUCGGCUAGGGGGCCAUCCCGGCUUACCAACCCGAUGCAAACUGCGAAUACCGGAGAAUGUUAUCACGGGAGACACACGGCGGGUGCUAACGUCCGUCGUGAAGAGGGAAACAACCCAGACCGCCAGCUAAGGUCCCAAAGUCAUGGUUAAGUGGGAAACGAUGUGGGAAGGCCCAGACAGCCAGGAUGUUGGCUUAGAAGCAGCCAUCAUUUAAAGAAAGCGUAAUAGCUCACUGGUCGAGUCGGCCUGCGCGGAAGAUGUAACGGGGCUAAACCAUGCACCGAAGCUGCGGCAGCGACACUGUGUGUUGUUGGGUAGGGGAGCGUUCUGUAAGCCUGYGAAGGUGKSYCGUGAGGSWUGCUGGAGGUAUCAGAAGUGCGAAUGCUGACAUAAGUAACGAUAAAGCGGGUGAAAAGCCCGCUCGCCGGAAGACCAAGGGUUCCUGUCCAACGUUAAUCGGGGCAGGGUGAGUCGACCCCUAAGGCGAGGCCGAAAGGCGUAGUCGAUGGGAAACGGGUUAAUAUUCCCGUACUUGGUGUUACUGCGAAGGGGGGACGGAGAAGGCUAUGUUGGCCGGGCGACGGUUGUCCCGGUUUAAGCGUGUAGGCUGGUUUUCCAGGCAAAUCCGGAAAAUCAAGGCUGAGGCGUGAYGACGAGGCACUACGGUGCUGAAGCAACAAAUGCCCUGCUUCCAGGAAAAGCCUCUAAGCAUCAGGUAACAUCAAAUCGUACCCCAAACCGACACAGGUGGUCAGGUAGAGAAUACCAAGGCGCUUGAGAGAACUCGGGUGAAGGAACUAGGCAAAAUGGUGCCGUAACUUCGGGAGAAGGCACGCUGACACGUAGGUGAAGUGAUUUACUCAUGGAGCUGAAGUCAGUCGAAGAUACCAGCUGGCUGCAACUGUUUAUUAAAAACACAGCACUGUGCAAACACGAAAGUGGACGUAUACGGUGUGACGCCUGCCCGGUGCCGGAAGGUUAAUUGAUGGGGUCAGCGCAAGCGAAGCUCCUGAUCGAAGCCCCGGUAAACGGCGGCCGUAACUAUAACGGUCCUAAGGUAGCGAAAUUCCUUGUCGGGUAAGUUCCGACCUGCACGAAUGGCGUAAUGAUGGCCAGGCUGUCUCCACCCGAGACUCAGUGAAAUUGAACUCGCUGUGAAGAUGCAGUGUACCCGCGGCAAGACGGAAAGACCCCGUGAACCUUUACUAUAGCUUGACACUGAACAUUGAGCCUUGAUGUGUAGGAUAGGUGGGAGGCUUUGAAGUGUGGACGCCAGUCUGCAUGGAGCCGACCUUGAAAUACCACCCUUUAAUGUUUGAUGUUCUAACGUGGACCCGUUACCCGGGUUGCGGACAGUGUCUGGUGGGUAGUUUGACUGGGGCGGUCUCCUCCUAAAGAGUAACGGAGGAGCACGAAGGUUGGCUAAUCCUGGUCGGACAUCAGGAGGUUAGUGCAAUGGCAUAAGCCAGCUUGACUGCGAGCGUGACGGCGCGAGCAGGUGCGAAAGCAGGUCAUAGUGAUCCGGUGGUUCUGAAUGGAAGGGCCAUCGCUCAACGGAUAAAAGGUACUCCGGGGAUAACAGGCUGAUACCGCCCAAGAGUUCAUAUCGACGGCGGUGUUUGGCACCUCGAUGUCGGCUCAUCACAUCCUGGGGCUGAAGUAGGUCCCAAGGGUAUGGCUGUUCGCCAUUUAAAGUGGUACGCGAGCUGGGUUUAGAACGUCGUGAGACAGUUCGGUCCCUAUCUGCCGUGGGCGCUGGAGAACUGAGGGGGGCUGCUCCUAGUACGAGAGGACCGGAGUGGACGCAUCACUGGUGUUCGGGUUGUCAUGCCAAUGGCACUGCCCGGUAGCUAAAUGCGGAAGAGAUAAGUGCUGAAAGCAUCUAAGCACGAAACUUGCCCCGAGAUGAGUUCUCCCUGAGACUUWRRGUCUCCUGAAGGAACGUUGAAGACGACGACGUUGAUAGGCCGGGUGUGUAAGCGCAGCGAUGCGUUGAGCUAACCGGUACUAAUGAACCGUGAGGCUUAACCUUACAACGCCGAAG
rnacentral:rRNA from 1 species